rnacentral:rRNA from 1 species
AGUGAACGCUGGCGGUAGGCCUAACACAUGCAAGUCGAACGGCAGCACAGUAAGAGCUUGCUCUUACGGGUGGCGAGUGGCGGACGUGUGAGGAAUACAUCGGAAUCUACUUUUUCGUGGGGGAUAACGUAGGGAAACUUACGCUAAUACCGCAUACGACCUACGGGUGAAAGCAGGGGAUCUUCGGACCUUGCGCGAUUGAAUGGGCCGAUGUCGGAUUAGCUAGUUGGCGGGGUAAAGGCCCACCAAGGCGACGAUCCGUAGCUGGUCUGAGAGGAUGAUCAGCCACACUGGAACUGAGACACGGUCCAGACUCCUACGGGAGGCAGCAGUGGGGAAUAUUGGACAAUGGGCGCAAGCCUGAUCCAGCCAUACCGCGUGGGUGAAGAAGGCCUUCGGGUUGUAAAGCCCUUUUGUUGGGAAAGAAAAGCAGCAGGUUAAUACCCCGCUGUUCUGACGGUACCCAAAGAAUAAGCACCGGCUAACUUCGUG